UAAAAAUAUAAAAACUUUUAGCAACGGAUCUCUUGGCUCUAGCAUCGAUGAAGAACGCAGCGAAAUGCGAUAAGUAAUGCGAAUUGCAGAAUCUAGUGAGUCAUCGAAUCUUUGAACGCAUAUUGCGCCUACUAGCUAUUCUAGUAGGCAUGCCUAUUUGAGCGUCAUUAUAA
rnacentral:rRNA from 1 species